AUGAUAAAGAAAAAAUGAGGAAAUGCUGUGAAGAACUAAUAGAACGUUUCAGAAGCAGAACAAGUCGAGAGCAGUGAUGACCCUUUUCUUCCUGCUAGUACCUCCUGUCUGUCUGGCUGAACUCACCAUCAGAUGAUGUCUUGAACCUCACCUAGAUGGGCUGGUGGUGUGUGGCCAGGUUAAGAGCACCAACAGGAGUAAGAAAGUGACCUGCCUGGUUUUACCGUGUGCACUAGGGGAGGGGUUGAAAGCUUUCGGUUGAUACAUCACCUCUGGGAGUUGAAGAAGAAUGCAAUUAAGAGAGCUAAAGAAGUCAGUAUAGAAUCUGAAACUCAGAGGUCAACUGAUGUGUCAAAGAUACCUCCACAAAUCAGUACCUUGAUUAAAACUAAAAUUGGAGUCAUCUUCAUAUCUUCAUCUUUCUCCCUCUUCAUUAGGACCGAUUGUAGUCUGUUUCCCUCUCACUCACUUGCAAUCUUUAUUGCUUUAGUGUUGCAUUUGAUUUUUAUCUUUGUUUUUGUUUUAAAUACUGUCAUUAAAGUCAUAGAAAAAUCUAAAGUAAAACUGGUUGAAUAAAAAUUUUAAAAUCGACUCUAAUGUAAUAAACCAGACAAAAAUGAUACUUUACAUGUUAUAUCUUCCCUUUAAACUACAAAUAUUCAUUGAGUGUAUACCCUGUAUUAGGCUGUUGGAAUAAAACAGGGAAGAAGACAGAAGAAACUGCACCGCCAUCUUAGAUCUUGCAGCCAAAUUCCUCUGAACUUUUCUCUAAAGACGUGCUCUGGAAAAAUGUUGAUCAUUUUCCUACAUCAUGGAGGUCUUUUCAUGACCACCUUUGUCUAGACAAUGUCCUGUUUUUAGGUGCACGUUUGAGGGCUGGAGUCUCUGACCCACAGUGCUGCAGCCUGCACGUGGUUUGUCCUGACUUCUUUGCUACUUCACUUUUCGUAAGGCUCUGAGAGUGCAG
ensembl:lncRNA novel transcript